rnacentral:rRNA from 1 species
UACGUAGGGUGCGAGCGUUUAAUCGGAAUUACUGGGCGUAAAGCGUGCGCAGGCGGUGAUGUAAGACAGGUGUGAAAUCCCCGGGCUCAACCUGGGAACUGCAUUUGUGACUGUAGAGCUGGAGUGCGGCAGAGGGGAUGGAAUUCCGCGUGUAGCAGUGAAAUGCGUAGAUAUGCGGAGGAACACCGAUGGCGAAGGCAAUCCCCUGGGCUAGCACUGACGCUCAGGCACGAAAGCGUGGGGAGCAAACAGG